CCUACGGGAGGCAGCAGUGAGGAAUAUUGGUCAAUGGACGAGAGUCUGAACCAGCCAAGUAGCGUGAAGGAUGACUGCCCUAUGGGUUGUAAACUUCUUUUAUAUGGGAAUAAAAUGUUCCACGUGUGGGAUUUUGUAUGUACCAUAUGAAUAAGGAUCGGCUAACUCCGUGCCAGCAGCCGCGGUAAUACGGAGGAUCCGAGCGUUAUCCGGAUUUAUUGGGUUUAAAGGGAGCGUAGGUGGAUUGUUAAGUCAGUUGUGAAAGGUUGGGGCUCAACCGUAACAGUGCAGUUGAAACUGGCAGUCUUGAGUACAGGAGAGGUGGGCGGAAUUCGUGGUGUAGCGGUGAAAUGCUUAGAUAGCACGAAGAACUCCGAUUGCGAAGGCAGCUCACUGGACUGCAACUGACACUGAGGCUCGAAAGUGUGGGUAUCAAACAGGAUUAGAUACCCCAGUAGUC
rnacentral:rRNA from 1 species